rnacentral:rRNA from 1 species
AUGGAGAGCGUCGAGCACCAGCAGCAGGCCGCCGCCCGCUCCCCGCCCCACGCCGCGGCGCCGCCGUCCCCGCCGCUGUCGCCCAACUCGGCGGCGGCGGCGGCGCUGGCGAACGCGCGGUGGACGCCGACCAAGGAGCAGGUGAGCGUGCUGGAGGGGCUGUACCGGCAGGGGCUGCGCACCCCGACCGCGGAGCAGAUCCAGCAGGUGACGGCGCGGCUGCAGAAGCACGGCCCCAUCGAGGGCAAGAACGUCUUCUACUGGUUCCAGAACCACAAGGCCCGGCAGCGCCAGCGCCAGAAGCAGCAGGCCUUCGACUACUUCUCCAAGCAGUUCCGCCGCCCCCAGCCGCUGCCCGUGCUCCACAGGCCCGCCGCCCACCCCUCCUUGCCCCCGAUCCCGCUGCAUCCGCCGCCACACGUGCCGUCGGCGACGACGCCGGAUCCUCCCGCUCCUCCUGCAUGCAACAGACAAGCGAUGUACGGGCAGCAGCCUAGCUACGUGACAGCGGCGGCGGCGGUGGCGGCGACACAGGCCGCGGCGAGUGCAUCCUACUACAUGCAGACGCAGGCACAGGCGCCGAUGUUGCACCCGAGAGUGGAGGCGGUGGCGCAUGACAAGGUCCCGACGCAGGCACAGGCCACCAUGUACCACCAGGCAGCAGCUCCGAACAGCGCCGGUACUCAGCAGCCGCGCGCGCUACAGCUCCCUCCGGCCGCUGGCACCCACGGGCCGCCCGACGCCCGCUCCCGCCGCCCCGAGACCCUGAACCUGUUCCCGCUGCACCCCACCUUCGCCAUUCCGGAGAAGCCGCGCCCCGCCGGGAUCGCCGGCUUCGCGACGCCGACGCCGACGGGGCCGUCCGCCUCGGGGUCGGGGUCGUUCUCUUGGGAGCCGGAGAGCCCCCGCGGCGACGCCUCGCUGCCGCUGUAUGACUUCUUCGACGUAGGCCGCUGA